AGCACAUGAAAGUGCACUCAAUCCCAAGUCAUUAGCAGAGUCCACACUGAAACUAGUUUCUCACUCUUACACCCACCAGAAUAGGCAAGUUAUCAGAGACAAAAGUGCAAAGGGUGGUGAGGAUGUGGAGGAACUUGAACUGUCUGGUUACUCUGGGAACAUACAUAGUUUCAACCAUGUUGAUAAAUGGCUUUCUAGUGUGUACUACAGUCAUCAGCACCUGUGACCCUACAGUCCCACUCCUGCCAUCUAUGUCCAAGAGACAUGUAUGAGUCAAAGAUGUUGGUGUCCACCUGGGGGACUUUACAGAAGCCUUGUUUCAAUCAACCAUCAUGAGAAACAGCAGAGUGAAUGUAAAAAACACGGAGGUGUAAAUUAGUUGUGCCAACUUUCUACAAUGUUAUAUACUGACUCAGCAGUACAAAAUGACAAAGGCUUCAUCACAUGGAACAUGGGUGAAAUUCACAUAUUCACAUAUAAUUUUCAACCAGAAACAAAAGAGUACAUACUGUAGGUUUGCAUUUAUAUGAUGUUUAAAAAUAAAUUUAAAAUGUGUUGAUCAUGAUCAGGGUAGGUAUGUCCUGGGGUUACUGCCUGGAAAUUAGCUGCAGAGGGACUGCCAGGAGUUU